rnacentral:misc_RNA from 1 species
GUUGUGUUCAUGCUGAGGAGAAGAGGAAGUACAUGCUGUUUCGGGGAGUGUUCACGAAUUUUAAGAGGACGAUGGUGUGGCGGACGAUAAAUGAUGGGAAUCGGAGUAGGAUUGGUUUGCAGUGUGCUUUCUGUGAGUGUAGGGAGAUGUGGGAUUUGCACUCGGCUUUUUGUUUGAGGAGGGUGUUUGGGUUUCAUGACGAUGGGG